GCCAUACCAAUCCAAAGACCUACCCUAAGCUCCUUGACAAACUGGUAUGCAAGAAGAAGAAGGUUUUCAAGGUUAAAGCUCACCCUGGCUCAAAUCCAUGCUCUAUUAUACAGUUCAGUGAAAGUGAACAGCUGUUGGGUAAUCUUGAGAAGCAAUUUGGAUUGGAGGAGGAGAGUGAAAUUAAGAAUGUUGCUGGAGAAGCAGUCCUUGCAUUAGAAGCUGUUUCAGAAACCAAAGACCUAUCACUCAUUCCAUCUGUAUGUAUUUAUUAAGAACUUUAACCUGAGAUUAUCAAAAUUAAAUUAUUGACAGUAGCUUAAAAUACUAACUUUUUGCAACAACUUUAUAGCUUUCUCCAUGUGGUGAAAAUGAACCAAGUUUUGCUAUGUCCACACCUCCUGCCAAAAGAUUGUCUCAAGAUGAAUCUGAUUCUGCUACAAAGCCUGGUGCUGAAGAUAUUCAGCCAACCCAACUUUCAUCCACUAAGUUUGCCAACAACCGAAAGUAUGCAAAGACACCUAAGCUUGAGAAGAAGUAGGUCUUACCAGGAACAUCUUUUGAAGGACAAUAUCUAUGUUAAAUAUGUAGAAUGCUUAACCUAUUUUGUGUCUAACCAACAAUGACUAUUUUGUUGUCAAUCAGAGUACAAGCCAUGGCUAACUCUUGAUGCACAAUCUAAAGCAUCUAUUAUUUGUUGUUUA